UCGCGCCUCACGAUCCGCUGCAUUAUGGGAAAUGUAGUUUUCUUGUGGGAUUUGUAUAGAAUCAAUGUGAUGUGUAUUUGUACUGUUCUAGUGUGUGUGCACAUAUGAGGUUUCUGUGUUUACCUGUGAUCUAUUACACAAGAGGCAGUGCAUGUUUACUUUAUUAUCAUUAUUAUUGCAUUUGUUUUACUUUAUUACUUUAUGUAUCCCUCACAGUAGUCUGAGAAGAGGGUGUGUGGAACUGAUGCAGUCCCUGUCACAUGUUGUGUCAUUACAGACUCACUCAGUAAAACAAAGAUCCAAAGAGAGCUGUGGUGUCGUGGUACAAAAUCCCUCGUUGGUGUUUUUUGCAACCAGGCAGCUAACCCUAACCUUAACCCUAAACAUAACCAUUGCUGUGCUGCCAGGGAGGAGACGUUGCGGG